rnacentral:rRNA from 1 species
CAGCACCUCAAGUGGUCAGGAUGAUUAUUGGGCCUAAAGCAUCCGUAGCCGGCGCUGUAAGUUUUCGGUUAAAUCUGUACGCUCAACGUACAGGCUGCCGGGAAUACUGCAGCGCUAGGGAGUGGGAGAGGUAGACGGUACUCGGUAGGAAGGGGUAAAAUCCUUUGAUCUAUUGAUGACCACCUGUGGCGAAGACGAUCUACCAGAACACGUCCGACGGUGAGGGAUGAAAGCUGGGGGAGCAAACCGGAUUAGAUACCCGAGUAGUCC